GCUCAACUCCUCUCCUGCACACACACUUUCCCCGCCCCCUUUUCCUGGCUCUGUGGCGAUUUGUUACUGCGCCGUCACGUGACUCAGCUGCAUAACGUAACCACGUGGGGUGUAAUUUCGAAAUUAGCGCCUAUCUUUUCCUAAACUCUUUUCCUUGGCCUCGAUGGAAACGUCAUCGUGGGAAGGAGAUUAGCUCAGGGAAAGAGAGGAGCGGUGCUGAGAAUUGGAACAGCCUUAGGCUGUAUCCCAAUAGCUAGGUUUCAUUUGACGUAGACGUGACGUCGACGUAAAGCGCGAAAUUUGACUGGCGGUCGGAAGUGAAAAAGAUAAGCGCAAAAUCACAGACAGACAGUACGCAAAAUGCCUAUGUCCUGUUGUGUUUACGGAUGCUCCAGUAGGUCGACCAGAGAAACCGAUAAACGGUAUUUUAGGGUACCAAAAAUAGCCCAACGAAGAGGAGAAAAAUGGAAAAUUCUAACCGAAAAACGUAGGAAAAAAUGGAUUUUAAAUUUACGUUUACAGUCGGGAGGAGCAGAGUCUGCCAAUGCCCGUGUCUGCAGCGACCACUUCGUCAGAGGCUGCCCAAGUGCUUUGGAUGACGAAGAGUCGGAGGACUGGGCUCCGACGGUCAAUCUCGGCUACGAACGAAAACCCAGAUCGGAAUCAGUUCUCAAACGAGAGAAAAGAAUGAAGCUUAAGGCAGAACAGCAUCGAUGUGCAGAGGCGAUUUUGGAUAUGCAACAGACGGCUGAGAGCCCGGAUUUGAGCCUAGUGACAGUGGAGAACCCCGAACUGCAGCUUCCAGCUGAGAAUCCACAACCAGAAGACUUCAGUGUGAAUGAGACAUUCACUUAUCCAGAUCUAUCAUGGUCCCCGUCUUUGAACAGCCUGCCCUGCAAGGCUACAUGUGUUUUAUAUUCCUUCUCUCCUCUCUGCCUGGGCGGAGCUCACUGUGGCCCACAAACCUGUUCGUGAUUAGCUGUCCACUAUUUGAGGCUCGUCGCUGGAUGAUUGUGCGAGACACUUUUCCUCCCCGGACCUGUGACCUUCCUGCUGUGCGAAUGUGUGGGAGUUUGGGCGUGAAGACGAGAAUGAGUUUCCCCUUGGACCUUUGGAACCAUGGAUUUCCCCCCUCAGUGUAUAUAUUCUGUACUGGUGUUGUAAAUAAACUGGGUUUCAUCCAGCUCAUCCUGUUAAAAAGAAUACAUA